CUGUUUGUGGCUGCAGCAAAAGAAAUCUCCCUAAAGAACUCCGUCUGAUAGCAGUGAAUCACUGAACGGGACAUUAAACGAACAACUGCUGCUUUCCCCACCAUUAAAUCCCAUGACUCUGCCUCCUGCACGACUAGGUUGCCUUUAGCAGAAUCAAGGACAGAAUUUUCAUUCUCAGGUGCCACAAAUGGCGAUGGAUCAUGUUGGUUCGCAGACAAACUGUCUGAAUUUUUACCAGAUCCGUGGCUCUCUGUCAGCAAUACAUCAUCUUGUGCAGACAACAUAGGACUAAUAGUAGAAUUCGAGAAAAUAUUAGCGUUGUCCACCUUCGGUAACCCAAAUUCCAGCCUCUCAGGGUGCUCAACACUCAAAUUGUCACUCUUGCAUAAGUCAUUGUUCACAAUAUCAAAGGUUUUAUGGCUAUCACCCGCAGAUAGAGAAGCGCUAUACCCUUUGCUUUCAUCUCCAUGCUCAUUAACUUUAGUAUCUGAUUGGGUAUCCUCCCAUUGAAAGAAUGGACAAGCUCCAAGUCCCUAAGUCAAAUUCACAAUACUUAGAUCAGAAUCCAGCGACAUCCAUAUAUAAGCUGCAAGUUCUAUAACAUAUGUUAUCUACACCAAGUACUCCACAGUUAAAGCAUUCGAUCGACGAUUGAAAUGUUACCUUUAAAACUAAUUUCCUAUUAUGCCAAUAAAAUGAAUAAGGUAAACUGCAAUUUGAAAUAUAAACAGAUACUUUAAGUUACAAAAGUCAGCUGGAACUGGAAAAUGCUAACUAAUGACUACAACAUUAAAUUCCCAAAAGAUUAGAAUGACAACCAGGGCAGAGACAAAAACCCAUCUGUAGCCAUCUGAAGAAUGGCAUCACCAACUGCAAGGAUAGAAGAAAUGCUCAUAAAAGACAUAAAUUCAUGAAGGGAAUCAUAUAGAGACUCGAUCCCUCCAUUCAUUUGGGUAAACUCAGACAGUGGCUCGGAGCUUAAAAUUACUGCCUUUGAGCGAGUUUAAAGCAUCGGCAUUACUUGAGUCAAACAAAAAGCUGUAUCGAGAAUGUGAAUACCCUUAAGUUGCACUAAAAUCAGUAGACUACAGAUAAAAAACAUAGCGGCUACCAACCACUACAAAUAAUUAAAGGACAAAGGCUAUCUAUACCUUCUUGAUAGGGCAAACAAAGUAGCUACGACCUGCAUUCGGCCCACUAAAUUUCUUUUCCUUUUUACAGGUUCCAGCUCCACAAGAACACUUGGGAUACGGUUUCUGACCAGCAUCUUUCAUUUCAUCAACCCACUUGAAAAAUCUACAGCGUUCAGCACCCUAAAGAUGUAAACAAAAUGAACCCAACUUUAAAAAAAUAAAAUCGGAAGUUACUGUAGCAUUUUCAGCUCAUAAACCAUCAAGACACUAACCUGUACAGGGCAAGAGUAGUACCUCCUGCCAGGGUUGUUCACAGAAUUAGAGACUUUUACAACACAGGGCCCUUUACCACAGCGGCACUGAAUCUCCGGAUAAUCACGACUGUUGCCGGCGGCGGCAGGCGGUGAUUUUCUUGGAGAUAUAGAAGGGCAAGAUCCUACCCAGAGGCCUUGCUUGCCACAAUUAAAGCUCAAAUCAUUCUGCAUUUUCUGAUAAAGAGCCGUUGGUGGGGUGAAACAACAGGGGUUGAGUUUCAAAACGCGGUUUGGCACGUCGUUUUGGUAUCUGGUUUAUGGAGGCCAAAGGAAAGUGACAGUAAAUAAUGUGACAGUGAAUAAUUAAUGAAUAAAGUAUACACAAUGAACACGAAGUAGGCUAAACAAUAAAAAGUAUCUGGUUUCUUGAUGUUUUGGUAUCUGGUUUCUUGAUGUUUUUACCCGUUAUAUUUUUUUCCUCAUUUUUUUCUCCAUACUUAUAUAGUGUAAUGAAGAAUAAUCUGUAGAUAAUGGAAAAGCCUCUCGCAAAUAAGCAAUCAAAUAUUGGAGUCCUAGGAAUGAUUAUCAAACUAUUAGAGGGUAAAGCGACCUAAAAAAACCCCUAUGAGUUCACUGCAACAGCAUAUAAGGUAAAAGGUGAUUGAUCAUUCAAGUACACUUACAAAAACAAUUACGUCAAUAGUAAUCUAGUGCAUAUUCAUAACCUGAAAUUAGGAAAUGCUUGAAGCAAGGAAAUAGAGCGAAUAAUGGUAUAGCUCAGUAAUAUCACAUCCAAGCAACUGUCCAAAGGAUAUAAUUAGCUUAUUCACCCAAGCACCAUUGUUGGAUUGGACUAAAGGAGACUAAAUUUAAAUUUAAUCCUAUAAUUAUAGAAUUAAUAAUCUUAAUUUACACAUGGAUUUAGUUGGGAUAAGAUUAAAGAAAAGAGUUGUCCAUUUAUAGGACUAUCAUUUAUAUCAUUACAGCAAUACUAAUGCAAGCAUUAUCAAAACAGAUGCUAAAGAAUUAAUUAUAAUAAAAUAAUACUAUUUGUUGGAAAAUAUUCCAAUCACAGAUUUAAUCCUGAUCAAUCCUGAUUUGCUGCAAGAUCCUCUGGUUGAUUAACAACAGAAACUCCUUCUAUAAAGUAGAGAGAAAUUAUAAGAAACUACAACAACCGUAAAUGAAGAACAUAAACUCAAUACUGCAUAUAACACUUCACCCAAUUCCAAUAAACCUCCCAACGACAGCCACUUCCUUGUCCAAGAAUCGUUUUCAAGCUACCUGCUUCCUCCAAAUUUCUUCAGUUUCAUGAAAACUCAGCAAACACACCAUAGUUCUCUUCCGCUGCACUCAUUCUUUUCUUUUGUUCUCGUUUCUUCUCUCUCUUUUGUUUAAUACCCACGUUACUUAAUAACAUAAGCUUCCACUAUAGCACUACCAAUAACUAAUACAAUUCAAAUAUAAAGGGGUUGUCCAAAUCUACAAUUCUUGUCCAACUUAACUCAGUCUUUAAAUUAAAUUUGAAUUUAAAAAAUUAAUAGAAAUUCAAAAUAUUAAAAGAGAUAAGGACAUAAGAAAAUCGGGAUGUUACAGGAGCAGGCUGAUAGAGAUCCAACCCCCUGGCAUAGUGCUGAUGGAUAUGUAUUAAAUUCAUAAUUGGGAAAUGGAGAUAAUCCAGAUGACACAAAGGAUGUUAUGGUGGAAAAUAAAUUAGACUGCUUGCAAAGCUGCAGGUGGUCAUUUGCAAACCAAAUACCUGGUGCAAAUCAAAAUCUUGUGCAAUAAUAGAUAAUGAAUGAUUUUGUAUUAAAAGAUGACCUGUUUAAAACUGACAUGAUUAAUCAAAAAGUUUUGUGCGGACAGACCAUUCUUUGCCGAAUUCCUGGACAUAAAGAGUUUAUUUCCAUUUUCCAUCACAAGAGUUGUAGAAUAACUAGUCGGAUAUGUGAAUUUCAACAGCGAGGAAUGACAAGUUUGCAAUCAUAUUACCACAUAAGAAGGUUACGACAACACAUAUUACUUUUAUUAUGACUUCAAAACAUACACAAGAUUGCAUACCUAUUAAAUUCCCUGAUAUGACAAAAAAGAAAAGCAGCCCAAAUGGCAACAAUUUUCAUUAUUUAACCACAAAAGUAUGCCAAAUUUUGUUGACAGUGUCGAACCUCCAAGAAAUAAGCAGAAACACCUCGGUUUGAAGUCUAUGGAGUUGUUGCAGGAAGAAAAAAACAGUAUCAUGUAAUCCAUAAAGAUGAGUAUCCUCAUUCAAGAGUGCAAAAAUCAAGAAGCCGGCAUGCAAAAAAUUCACUUAGAAAUAUAAUCUUUCAAACAUAAGAUCAACCACACCAUAAGUUAUAUCAAAAUUAAUACAUCAUAACAAAAGAGGAAAAAGGGGGAAAAAAGAAAGGAUGUAACAAAAUUCUUCCAUCAUUUAGUAGCACUUAGUCACCCUUUCUCCGGAAAGAACAUCCCUCAGUGAGUCUGGCACGUCCACCAGUGGGCUGGCAUAGAACGGACUGGCAGUUGCCACAAACCACCACAGUUUGAGAGUGGCUGAAAACAGUCGUUCUGAAAUUUACAGACAAAACAAAUAGUGAAAAUCAAUAUCUAUUUAUAAAUUUAAAUGAAAAUAUAAAUAAAAACUCAAGAAACUUACAUGUUGAAGCAACCCUGACAUUUCACAUCCUACAUCAAUAAUGUGAAAAGGAAAAAGCAGUCAGUCCAACAAAUUGUAUAAUAUGAAAAAGAAUUAAAAAAACCAAACUCAGCCAGAUGUAUUGGCACUAAUUUAGAAGUAUUUCACUUGAGAAGAAAAAAGAGUCAACGACAAGUUAUGACUUAAAGAUGGAAUUCAAACUCAUAACAAACAUUUAAUUUUAAAACAAAUACUAUUUCAUAGAAGUCUACUUCUUGUCAUCAUUAUUCUAUGAACAAGACAUUUGAGAUUUUGUACUUCAAGAAAUAAAAGCUUUAGAAUUACAAUAUCCCAACCUUCGGAAGAAUUGGAAAAUAAGCCUAUUAUCAUUCUAACAUAAGACACUGACACAGUAACAACAUCAACAAUAAAACAUUAAUAGAAGGCACAUUACCAUGAAAAAGAAAUUGGGUGACUGAACAAGACGCUUAAGCUUGUGCUUCUUCUUCUCAAGCUAAGCCGGAGGAUUCAACAAAUCAAUAUCAUUUUGGAGAACCUAUUCCCACAUUCACAAAUAAAAAGACAGGAGCAACAUUAUUGACCGAAAAAUAUAAAUAUAUAAACACAAAAACAAAAUCAUAUUUACAAAUUAAUUUUUGGUUAUAUUGAUCCCAAUAAUCUUGUACUUCAAUCAACAUUAUGUACGUAUGGCAGUAGCUAAAUAUUUUACAGAGAACUGGGGAGUCUAGGAAAUAGCCGAACAAUCCUCACUAUUUGUCACAAAUCUCAAAUUCUCAGUUAGGCCUCCAUGUCUUCUGUUGCUGACUUUUAAAUUUGUGUUGUACAUAUAAAUACAAUCAUAUAUCAUAUCACACACAAAAAGAUACGGAUAUGUACACAAGAUUUUAAGAUGUAACAGAAAGUUUUAGAUUACCUACCACUAGUGAAUAUAUAAAAGAAAAUCGAAAGUUAACAAGUUAAGAUAUAGCACUACAAAAAAAUCUAUAUGGACAUUUUAUUUUUGUUAGAACUAGAUUUUAUCAAUUCCCAAAAACCUACAAAAACUAGUUGAUUUACAUGAAUCAAUAGAAAAACAAAACAAAACAAAAACACAUACAAAAUAGUAGCCUUGUAAAAAAAAAAAAAAAGAAGCACACGAGCAUCAUAAAAUAUAACAAAUAAAACUAAAAAAAAUUGCUUUUUUUCUUUAAAAGAAUAAUAUAUAGACCAAUUUUAAAUGACAAACACCCAGAAAAUAUAAAGACGAAAACGCAAAAGGACUGGUGGUAGAAGAGCGGUAUGAACUCACCAUGUUUGCAAAUGCUACAGGAGAACCAGAAGGAGAACUUAGAAAACCCUAGCAGCAGAGAGUGGCUCAGCAGGCGGUGAGGUUUGAAACGAAACUCAGAUGGUUAUAUGAAAAUGGGAGUUGCGUUGUUCGUCACCGUUGGAUGAGUCAGUUGUUGAUCUUGGCCGUUAGUUGGAUUUUAAUGUUCUGUUUUCGGGCCGGGCCUUUUGGGUUAUCAUAUGGCCUUUAUAUAAAACGUGUUUCCACCGACUUUUAAGUUUUUUUCUUAAAGUAUCCCGAUUAAAUUUAUAAAAUACAAAAGCCAUGCUUUAAAAUUAACCAUGUUCCCAUCAAAUUUCACUUAAAAAAUUUUAUUUUUAUUAAAUUUUUUAUCUCGAUAAUCUGAACUCUAAUAAAUUUUAAAUGGUCCUGCAAAAACGAACGUAAGACUUGCUUGCACUGGUUUUUUACGUGGUGGGAUUUGCCUUCAUUGGCCUCGCAAACUUGACAAACAAAACUCUAUAUGUAACCUACAAUCUUUCCUUCCUGGUAGGCAUUAGUUUUAUCACCACUGUCGUAAUGCUUGUUACUCGAAUGCUCAUGCAACUCACAGCAUAUCAACUACAGCCAAAUAACAAAAUGUCAAGCAUAACAAUUUUCCAAUCACAUGGAUAUACAUCUUGACCUUCAACAUACAUCUUGUCCUUCAACGUAAAUAGCACACUAGCCUCUCUGCAACAAAAUAUUUGCUCAAACAAAUCAAGUUCAUGCUGGUAAAGUGAACUCCAUUUUCAAAAUUCCGAAAUCCUUCUAAAACUACAUAGUUACACAUCUUACACUGUCACUUACCAAAUGGCAUAGGAAAGUAACAUUUGGUGAAAAUAACAAAUGACAACAUCAUGAAUCAGAAUUUGGCACAAAUACACAAGGGAAUUUUGAUUAGAGACAUCGAAACAAAUAAUGGGGUUUUCGCAAUCUCAAGGAUAGUUCCUCUAAACAAAUGAUAUUGUAAUUGCAAUCAUAGUUCCUCUAUCAAAUGGUACUAACCCAUCAGUAUCAGACUUGACAGGCAUUUGGAAAUGAAACAGACAUAUAGAUUUUGAUUUUUAAAAAAUUACCGCCAAAAGAAUUACAAAACCAUUUCUUUUAAGAGGUUAUUGUUUCAUAUGCUUUGUUAUCAUACAAAUAAUAUGUGCAAAUGCAUAUGCACUUGAAAGAAGCAUCAAGCUGCCACCAGUAAAAGUCAGUUUUGCUAGUUCAAUGUAUUUUAUGAUAAAAAUUGUGCCAGUAAUGUAAUUGAAACAAUAAUAUAACUAACUCAGUCAUGAAACCUUAUUCUUCUCGUCGGUGUCUGUAUCAAGGGACGUCCCACUGUUUGUCAACUCAAUAGUCAGCCAUGUCAAUCUAAAUAGCAAUUGGAUAUAGCAGCAUAGUCACUAUUCCAGUUCCAGGCUCUUUUUCAUGGCUUCAUAAACCAUGUAAGUAAUGCUAGCAGAUGGAACAACUUUCAGCAGAUUAGGGAACAACCCUUUGUAGAAUCCCCUUAAUCCUUCACUUUUAAAUGUUCUCUUAAAUACAUCGGACAUUCCUGUAUAAGCGCUUUCUGUGUUCAUGCGCUGAGCUUGCAUUCUGAGACCAGAAGCGAAAUUAGGCUCAAUGCACUGUGAGUGAACGAAAGCGACAAGGUAUUCACAUAAACACCACAACCACAAUUUACCUUGUUCUGACAACCUGCAAUGGGUAUACACAUGUUGCUCCUAAAGCUCCAGAAAAAGUUCCGCAUCCCAGUUGCACUAGAGGACCGGGCUCUACAAAAAGGUAUAAAAAUCAUUCAAAAUGAAGGCAAAUCUGAGACGGGAAAUGAUAUAAGACUGAAGAAAAGAUAAGUUUACCACUGUCAUGAAGAAUGUACUUCUUGGACAUUUCUUUGAAACUUUCAUAUGCAGCUAGAUCAAUCCCAGCAUAAGGGAUGAUCCCAAGAAGUGAAGGAACAAGGCCUCGAUAGAAUGCACGGGGUCCCUCUUGAACCAAUAUAUCUCUUGACAUUGCCCCUAUUUUUGGAACUUUUCCUCCUUCACAAACAUAAGUUUGUAACCGGGUUUUCACAAGAUCCAUCGGAUAAAUGGCUGUCUGUGCCACGGCACCUGCCAGCCCACCAGCGAAAAGGCGCCCUGAGGCACCGAUAUUGGUCUUCUCUUCAUCCCCUUCAACUUUGGCAAUUAAUUUUUUCAAUCUUUCAUAAGUGUAAAAUUUGAUAGCACUUUCAGGUGCCACUUUUAUGACAUUUAAUCCAUUGCCUCGAAAAAACCCCGAGAUACCUCCAUCCCUCCAUAUAUCCCUUAUUGCUGGCAUAAUAUGAGCUCUUGUUGUUUGUACUUGCAAAACAACCUUUAGACGAUCAAGAGGAGCAGUUGCUGUCCGAGAUGUUGCUCCAGCAACUCCUCCAGAAAUCAAAUAUCGAUUUGCAUGCACAUGCUUACUGAUACCCUCAGGUAUGGCAGCCUGUUCCCCAAUAUCAACAAGACACACCCUUUCUAAGUAAUGAUAAAUGUUCUCCAUAGUUGCCUCAUGAGGAUACAACAGAAGAAAGUCCCUCCACUCUUCAAAUGUUAUAACUCCAUUAUUAUCCUUAUCUACACGCUCAACAAAAGUAGCGAGCUCCUCAUCAUCAAUUUCAAUUCCUACAAGAGAGAGACUGGUGUGGCUUAUAGACCGAACACAAUCCACGAAAACAUAACACCAAUUUCUAACAUUCUAACAUCAAGUUGCUAAACUAUGCACAAAAACAAAUUUAACUUAAUCUCAUAUCUACACAGCCAAAAAAAAUGGAAGAAAAACUAAUGUUUCUUCAUACCAGUCACAAAAUUAUAAACAAAUCUUAUCAACAGAACCAAAAUGAAGAUAAUUCACAUACCCAUCAAGCAAUAAUCAAGUUAAAACACGAAACGGACCUGCCUUGACAAGCGCAUGAUAAAGCUCUUCAGGCAAAAUGCCACCAUUGUGUUCAACAUCAAUGGCUUGAAAAAUCCGGUACAGCUCGAGCUCCUUAUCAUCCAUAUAGCGACGAAACUCUUGAUACUCAACACGGCCAUCUUGAUUAGAAUCACAAACAUUCAACAAAUCCCUUGCAUACUUAUACUCGGAGGGUAUAUUCAGCGAAGAGAGCCCUGCCUCUAUCUUUGCAUAAUCUAAAUACCCAGAAUUAUUGACAUCAAAAAAAUUAAAAAGAGCUCGGAUUCUCUGCUCUCUUUCUUCUUUACUCUCACCUAAAGCCAAUAACACGUGCUCCAUCGUUACACUAGUCCCCGCCUUUUUCACCGGAUUGCUCCCAUUGCUUUGCUGUGUCGCCAUUAAUAAACCGAAAAUACAGAGGAACCCCGCGCGCGUGUUUUGAGUCAAAGAUUUGAACAACUACUGAGUCUAAGUCGUCAUCGGAGAGGACAUUUUGGCCGUGAUGGAGUGGAAUCAACGGCCAAAUCUGCUUCCAAGAACGUGCCCAUCGAAAGAUAAAAAUGUAAUUUUUUUUUUCUUGUUUUGUUUGUGUUGUUGCGAAGUGUAUUAUUUAAUGAGUUGUGAUUGUGAAUUUGUGAUUCAUAGGGACAGGUAAAAGGCAGAGAAGAUUGUAUUCUUUUAUUUUAUUUUAUUUAUACUUUUUUUUAAAAAAAAGUAAAUGAAUUUUGUUUCUGUUAAUUAAAAAGUGUUUUUUUAUUUCCUUUUUCCCAAAGGGACUCAUAUUCUCUUUGGUAUGCGUUGCUGUCUCGUGAGAUUUGUGCGCCCAACCAGCUUCAAGAUUCGAGGAAUCAAUUGUGAGGUCGGCUCUUGAGCUGCUGGCCGAAUGUGUGCUUCACUUGUGGCUAUGUCACCUAUCAUAUCAUAAUUUACAUAAAUGUGACGCGUAAUAUGUUUUUAUAGGCAUACAAUUGUUCACGUUAGAGUUAGAGCGAGCAACUCUUUUUUUGGUUAAUCACACAGCAUCAAUGCUAUUCCUCAUCCACUAGCUCACCGUAUUAUUUUCUGUAUACGUGACGGAUUUAUCAUAUGAUUUUUGUACCCAUUGCCGAGUGAUAUGCCAUCUUCACCAGAGGCUUAAUCAGAUUGUUGUCCAGAGUCAUGAAGAAAUUAAACUGAGAAUGGUAAAAGAAGAAUUCAAAGUUUUUGACUCUUCUACCGCAUGAAUUGUGGUAGAAGCUGAAAAGUUAUCAUGCCUGGCAAUAUGGAACUGCAUUUUACUUUUGAUUGAUGUUUUGAGACUAUGCGAAAUGCAAAGAGCCUACCAGAAGCUCCUUGUGCAAGCGAAGACCAAGAAGAACAUAUGCAAGAAUUUACAAUACACGUACAAACUCUUUUAUACAUAUACAGUGAGUUUCAUCAGGUUACACAUGCAUGAGAGAGUUUUACAUCACUCGCUUCCAAGUCAGCUAGACAUUGCUUAAAUUUACACACAUAAGUAAGUUCUAUAACUAAUACAAAACAUUAUUUCCCAUGCUGCCUCCUAUUCUCUGAUGCAACCUUCAGCAAAGUUUAGCAUUUUUCUCAUUGUGAAAAUAGUAGCCUUCUCCGCUUCCUAGGAUGCAACCCACAAACUUCCUGACUGCUGCACUGAUAAAUCUACAAUUUACAUAAACAAAAAGGUCCAUUAAAUUACAUAUCGAGCAGGAUAAUCGGAUUAGAGAUCAAGAAAGAUCAAAUGCAACAUUGCUGUUGAAGUUGGAUUCUCGCCUUCUCCAAUGCUGCCUUUGCUGCAAGAAGCUCCUCUUCCUUCUGCUUACAAAGUUCCAAAGCUUCCUCAGCUUUUUCCAUGCUUUUCUUUGACUCCAACUUAUCUCUAGAAAUAAAAUCUACACGAAUCUUGUGCUCAGAAGUCUCAGCCUGACAGCAGGAUACUUGGUUCUCAAUUUGAGAAAGCUUGUCCCUCAGACGUGAAGCCUCUUCUUGCAAUGAUUGUCCACGCUCAAUAGAUGCUUCCAAAUCGGCAACAGCCUUUUCAUAGACUUUAGAAAUAUCAUCAAAUCGAUCUUUUUCUUCAUUGUAUGAGUCAAGAAGCUCUUCCAUGGAGUGUUCGUUACACACGGACCGCUCAAUGGCACCAAAUCUUAAGUUAGAGUCAACAUAUUCCUUCAGACUUUUCGUAACUGGGUUACUCGCAAUUGACUCACAAACAGAAAACAGUUCACUAACUCCCCUAAUUAUGGAAUCAGGAUCAGAUUGAUCGGUCGAGUUCUGAUUCAUCAAAAUCUGAUUAAAACACAGCGCUGUGUCCUGAAGAAACCUUUUCAUUGUGCUCCUUACGUUUUCAUCCAUGGUAGUGGAAGAACGUUUGAGGGCUGAUGAUUUUUGAAGAUCACCAUUCCAAACUUGCAGAUCUUGCCCAGGAGUUGAUGGUGAUACUUUGUCAUCUUCCGUAUUGGAAACGCCAGGAAAUAGGGUGGCUUCAUCUUGAGGGACAAAGAUGGGAUUGAAAGAGGGGAAGAUUACUAUAAAAAUAUUGUGGCAGUCAGAAUCCAAAAAUGGAUGAAAAAUUUAUCCAGCUAAUAUAUGUGUGAAACCAUACCACAAAAGAAUGGAGCAGGCGGACGAUCUGUUAAGCAUCGCGAAGGAGGGAAAGCUAGCCUGCCCAGCCAACCAAGAAUAUGCAGAGCUAAACUUUGAUAAACUAUAUCUGUAAACCAGAAAAGAGUAAAUGCAUAAAAAUGAAAGAUUAUCUCAAUAAUUGGGUAUGAUACAAAACAGAAGCACGACCUGUUUACAUGAAUUAAUAGUCAUUACGAAAGAGUGGAAAGAAGAAAACUACACCUCCGUUUGUGGCGGCAGCAAAAGAAAUCUCCCUAAAGAACUCCGUCUGAUAGCAGUGAAUCACUGAACGGGACAUUAAACGAACAACUGCUGCUUUCCCCACCAUUGAAUCCCAUGACUCUGCCUCCUGCACAACUAGGUUGCCUUUAGCAGAAUCAAGGACAGAAUUUUCAUGCUCAGGUGCCACAAAUGGCGAUGGAUCAUGUUGGUUCGCAGACAAACUGUCUGAAUUUUUACCAGAUUCGUGGCUCUCUGUCAGCAAUACAUCAUCUUGUGCAGACA
rnacentral:lncRNA from 1 species